CGUAGUUGAUUUAACAAUUAGUAUUUUUUUAUUUCCUUGACUUGCAAUCUCACCCUUAUCAAUUCUUUUGAUGUCUGAUUUUUUGAAACAGUGAGAUCCUCGUGAAAGGAAAAUAGCAUGAUCCAGGCUGUUCUUCAAUUGCAAAGAAAGAGAAUUAUGAUUGAAACAAAUGCAAAAUAUCCAACUGGAAUUCUCUCCAUAUUUGUGGUAAUUUUGGAAAAUAUUCUUUCCAGAGAAUAACACCUUAAAAUAAAUAACUGUGGUUGUGAUAAUGUAGCAGUAUUGCUUGAAUCCGUCGCCACCUUUCCAUAGACUGACCCAUUGAAUGGUGAAACUGACGAGAGAAUGCUGUUAUUCAAGACUGCUAAAUUGUUUAUUUGUUAGAUAUAUUACAAGUGCAUAUCUGGGCUCUCUUCUUUUCUGUGGCCCCGUUUCCCUAACUAACCACUAACCAACGCC